rnacentral:lncRNA from 1 species
AGUCCUUUGACCUGAGGCAUCAUAGAUGUCUAAUGGUUAGGUCCUUGAUCUUUGAUCAUGUCAACGACAUUCCAUCGGAGUGUCCACGACAUUGUUGGGGUCAAGCUAUCUAGUUAUGUAGGCAUAUGAAUGCACAACAAGGGAUCUCUAACCUUCCAUGGUGGAAGGAGAAUACUCUAAGAUAUGAUUCGUAUGUCUUUGGCCAAAGCAAAUGAAUAUGACUUAGGAAGUUUGUUCCAAUUCAUAUUCAAAGGAAUCGUAUAGAAAAGUAUCACAUUGGAUAGUAGACAUGAAACAAACUAUCACUUAAACAAUGUGAUUAAGAGUAUUGUAUUAGAGAAGGACCGUAUUGCAUUGUAAUUGUAACUGGAUAGGUUCUCCAACCAAUUCUACUUAGCUUGGGUAACCAUGACAUACUGCUAGGUGUCACUCAUGGUUUGUGGAAGCCCUAAUGACUAGCAAACACUAAUCAUAAAGGGAGAAUUGAAAUGCGGUUUCAAUUCACAAUCGAUCGUUAAGAGUAACAAUCACCCACUACCUCGCUAAUUGGAACCUAAUGGAUCGUACACCGAGUAAGGGCGAUAGUGAAGAAAUUAAAUGAAAUGGAUAUGCAAUUAAAUGGUUUAAUUGAAGAAUGGUCAAGAUUAAUUCAUUAGUUAAUUAAUUAUACGAAAGGU